UACGUAGGUGCAAGCGUUAAUCGGAAUUACUGGGCGUAAAGCGUGCGCAGGCGGGUAUGUAAAACCGGGGUUAAAUCCCCGGGCUUAACCUGGGAACUGCAUCCGAUACUGGAUGGCUUGAAUUCGGGAGAGGGAUGCAGAAUUCCAGGUGUAGCGGUGAAAUGCGUAGAUAUCUGGAGGAAUACCGGUGGCGAAGGCGGCAUCCUGGACCGACAUUGACGCUGAACGGCGAAAGCUAGGGGAGCAAACGGG
rnacentral:rRNA from 1 species